rnacentral:rRNA from 1 species
UAAGAGCUCGUAGGCGGUUUGUCGCGUCUGGUGUGAAAACUCGAGGCUCAACCUCGAGCUUGCAUCGGGUACGGGCAGACUAGAGUGCGGUAGGGGAGACUGGAAUUCCUGGUGUAGCGGUGGAAUGCGCAGAUAUCAGGAGGAACACCGAUGGCGAAGGCAGGUCUCUGGGCCGCAACUGACGCUGAGGAGCGAAAGCAUGGGGAGCGAACAGGAUUAGAUACCCUGGUAGUCCAUGCCGUAAACGUUGGGCACUAGGUGUGGGGCUCAUUCCACGAGUUCCGUGCCGCAGCAAACGCAUUAAGUGCCCCGCCUGGGGAGUACGGCCGCAAGGCUAAAACUCAAAGGAAUUGACGGGGGCCCGCACAAGCGGCGGAGCAUGCGGAUUAAUUCGAUGCAACGCGAAGAACCUUACCAAGGCUUGACAUGCACGAGAAGCCACCAGAGAUGGUGGUCUCUUUGGACACUCGUGCACAGGUGGUGCAUGGUUGUCGUCAGCUCGUGUCGUGAGAUGUUGGGUUAAGUCCCGCAACGAGCGCAACCCUCGUCCCAUGUUGCCAGCGGGUUAUGCCGGGGACUCAUGGGAGACUGCCGGGGUCAACUCGGAGGAAGGUGGGGAUGACGUCAAAUCAUCAUGCCCCUUAUGUCUUGGGCUUCACGCAUGCUACAAUGGCCGGUACAAAGGGCUGCGAUACCGUAAGGUGGAGCGAAUCCCAAAAAGCCGGUCUCAGUUCGGAUUGGGGUCUGCAACUCGACCCCAUGAAGUCGGAGUCGCUAGUAAUCGCAGAUCAGCAACGCUGCGGUGAAUACGUUCCCGGGCCUUGUACACACCGCCCGUCAAGUCACGAAAGUCGGUAACACCCGAAGCCCAUGGCCCAACCGUUCGCGGGGGGAGUGGUCGAAGGUGGGACUGGCGAUUGGGACUAAGUC